UAUCGUGGCUUUCUGGUGGUAGUGGUGGGUAUACGCUUGACAUGCACGGAAGCACGCGCACCCUCCGCCAGCCAGGCCUGGUGAUAAUUUAUUGAAUUAGGCUCGGUAAAAGUGCGUAAGACUCGUAGUCUUUAGACACGGAUCGUGGCUUCGUCUUUAGACAGAAGAGUCAGUACAGUCGGAAGUCAUCAACAUCAGAGAUAUUUCUUCGCGGUCUGCAGGACAUCACACCGAUGCUGUGCUAAUAAUAGCAAUCUAGCUAGACAUCUUAUGAGUCACUGAAAGCCAAGCCCAACAAGUGGUGCAGGCAAGCCUUGACCGACAACGGAUGUUGAGCCAAAAAAGAAGAAGUUAGAAUUUGGUAACAAAUAUCUCUACAAAAGGUGCCGCCGAGAGAAAGAGGUGACGAUCACAACAUUCCAACUGCAACUCCGCUAAUGUCCUUGAAGCAGAGCAAACAAAACCUCGGGUGCGUGUUUCACAAUUGUGCGAGCCGUGUAAAACAUAAAUCUCGCCAGCAGCAGCUAGUACAAUCGGUGCGGCAACGAUAACAACAAAAACAACCGCCGGUAAAUGUGAAUUGCACCUCCAUUCACGCGGAAAAACCAAUGUGUCACAAUAGCCGUCGGGAGCCCGGCCGCCGUAAAUCGGUCGCAGUGUGUGCUGUGUUUUUGUACAGUAGCAGCAGUAGCAGCAGCAAGGAACAGCACAAAAACGCAUACUUUUAAUCGUGCCUGCUCGCGGGAACUCGCUGAAACCGAGGUGGAAAUAAAUUAUCGGUCGAACCCGCCAGGACCCGGGAGCCGACGGGCGCAAAUGGUGGACAUAGUGUGUGUGUGUGUGUGCGUGUGUAACACAUCAUGUUCUAUCGGAAGGAUCGCAAUGGUUGUGGGCCCCACGUACCCCGGCACAAUCGGUUAAAAUCGGUCGCCGACGGAUGCACAGCUUUUUAAAAACGCUAAUUGUCGUCGAUUACGGUGUGCGCGAAACAAAAACAAAAAGGCGAGGGGAUCUCCCGUUAGGAGACAGAUGACAUGUCAUUCAUCGAGCAACACACACACACACACAGAGGCAAACGAGUAUUCAGAGGACGCGAAUCGAGCCAGACUGGCCCCGGAAGCUGACAGGCAAUCGCACUAAGCCCAUCAUCGCAUUGCGAACACAACGCAUUCGAAACAGCCUUUCAAUCGAUCUCUCCCUCUAUCUCUCUCUCUCUCUAUCUCUCUCGCUCGUUAUCAGCUCGCACACCUCGCCAAUGUUCGGCGGGCGGCAUUGUACCGAUGUAAACCUGUGUCGGAGCCCCCUUGCAAAGUCAGCUUGCCGCACAGACAAGACCGCCUUUGUCUGCCCGGCAUUGUCGAUCGAUCGGCUCCAUUGUGUAGCUGCUGGCUGUACCGGCCUGACCCCGGCCUGACAUCGCCCAGUAGUGCUUGGCUGCACUGGAGUCGUCACUGACCGAGCAGACGCAGCUACGUAGUACCGUACAUGACUGACUCAGUUGAAUGCCUGCAAGACCCGCACCACGCACACCCCAUCCUACACCCAACCUGACACACUGACUCUGUGUGUGUGUGUUUUUGUGAUGAGUUUGUCAUCAUAUAGGUCUGACAUCGAUUAAUCGCUGCUGCAGGGGGUCCACCACUACAUCCCAGCAACUCCCUGUACAGCCUCGGAUGCACAAAUGGAAUCGCGGUAAUUGUGCCCGAUGAAUAGACCUGCAUGUGUGUGUGUGUAUGUGUGUGUGUGUGUGUGAGUGUGUGUGUAUGUUGCAGCCAGAGAGCAAUCAGAGCAAUCAUGUAAGUGUGCACCGGCAGAUGCAGAUUGACAUUGUACUACGACUAAUUGCGCAACACAAGAGCGCCUCCAGCCUCCAGUGUUGUGUACGAGUAUGUCGAAAGAUAGAGAGAGAGAGAGAGAAAAGAGAGAAAGAGAGUGUGUGGGUGAAAGGGAAACAAGGUACAACAGUGUCUUUGACACUGGAUCGACCGAGACAUCAGCAAACGUACGGUGCAAAAGCAUUGAUCCCGCACGAUGGAUACUGGAAACGCAUCAUCAUCAUAAUGUCGACACCUUCACAGGAGUGAAGUCGGAAAAUGAAAUAUUCGAUACACACACACUAUGCCAGUUUGAGUGUUGUACCAGGGAAAGAAAAUCAAUCACCUGCUCCAAGUGU